rnacentral:rRNA from 1 species
CCAAUAGCGUAUAUUAAAGUUGCUGCAGUUAAAAAGCUCGUAGUUGAAUUUCGGGACUGAUAUGUUGGUCGUGCCUCGGUACGUACUGGUAUUUUUGGUUUCUCCCUUCUGACGAACCUUGAUGUCAUUAAUUUGGUGCCUUGGGAAAUCAGGACUGUUACUUUGAAAAAAUUAGAGUGUUUAAAGCAGGCUCACGCUUGAAUACAUUAGCAUGGAAUAAUGAAAUAGGACGUUUGAUUUUAUUUUGUUGGUUUCUAGGAUCGACGUAAUGAUUAAUAGGGAUAGUUGGGGGCAUUAGUAUUCAAUUGUCAGAGGUGAAAUUCUUGGAUUUAUUGAAGACUAACUACUGCGAAAGCAUUUGCCAAGGAUGUUUUCAUUAAUCAAGAACGAAAGUUAGGGGAUCGAAGACGAUCAGAUACCGUCGUAGUCUUAACCAUAAACUAUGCCGACUAGGGAUCGGAUGAUGUUAAUUUUUUAAUGACUCAUUCGGCGCCUUACG